rnacentral:rRNA from 1 species
AAUGCUAAUCUCCGGGAACAAUAUCCAGCUCUGUACAAUAUUAUGCGUCACAAGGAUGAUACUAUUGCCAAGGUUUUAGAAUCAUUUCCGCCAAAUGUGACGUUCAGAAAGGAUUUAAUUGGACCUAGACUCCAAUCGUGGAACAUACUGCUCCAAUGGUUAACCACGGUACAGUUGUCACAAGGGUCCGAUAUCUUUCGUUGGAACCUACAUGGGAAUUGGCAGUUCUCAGUGGAGUCUAUAUAUAGAGCUCUGAUCCAGUCAGAUGUGCUAGUUGAUAAUAAUAAGAAGAUCUGA